GGGAGGGGGUGGGAGGGGUGGGGGGUAACGGGGGAAACUGGGGAAGUGGGGAACCGUGGGGCAACCAGGGGAAGAUGGGGUGCUGGAGGAGAGUUUGUGGGAGCCAAGGAGCACCUUGGACAUCUGGAGUCUGGCAGGCGUGACGACGGGUGGAGGGGCUAGCUCGGGGCAGGGCUGUGGGGUCUGGGGCCAGUGAGGAGAGCGGUGUAGGCGCCCAGGCAUCGUGCAGAGGGAGCAACAUCAGCUGGGGGCGAUGGGCCCGAGCUAGGGCUGGAGAGAAGGGGGAGCCAGGCAUUCAUCCCGGUCACUUUUGGUUACAGGACGUGGCAGCUGGUUGGACGAGGGGAGCUGAUGGGCAGGGUUUGAUCCCAGGGCCUGGGCAACGGAGGUGUAGCUGGCAGCAGCGGGCAGGUGAGAACCCCAUCUGCCGGGCAGGUGAGUCCCUUCCCUCCUCAGGCCUCGCUUCCCCAGCCUUCUGAAAGAAGGAGGUUUAGGGGAUCGAGGGCUGGCGGGGAGAAGCAGAUACCCUCCCGGCAGAGGGGCAGGAUGGGGGCAGGAAAGUUAGCAAAGGUGACAUCUUCUCGGGGGGAGCCGAGACUGCGCAAGGCUGGGGGGCUGCGGGCUCAUCCCAGGCAGAAAGGGCAAGAGGGCAGGGACGGAGCACAGGGUGGCCAGCGUAGGGUCCAGCACGUGGGGUGGUACCCCAGGCCCGGGUCAGACAGGGACAAGGCAGGGGACACAGGACAGAGGGGUCCCCAGCUGCCACCUCACCCACCGCAAUUCAUUUAGUAGCAGGCACAGGGGCAGCUCUGGCAGGGCUUUCUCAGGCCUAUGCCAGAGCCUCGAGGGCUGGAGAGCGGGAAGACAGGCAGUGCUCGGGGAGUUGCAGCAGGACGUCACCAGGAGGGCAAAGCGGCCGCGGGAGGGGCCCCGGGACAUUACGCAGCAAGGAGGCUGCAGGGGCUUGGCCUGCGGGCGCCGUUCCCACGAGGCACUGCGGCCCAGGGUCUGGUGCGGAGAGGGCCCACAGUGGACUUGGUGACACUGUAUGCCCUCACCGCUCAGCCCCUGGGGCUGGCUUGGCAGGCAGUACAGCAUCCAGGGGAGUCAAGGGCAUGGGGCGAGACCAGACUAGGCGAGGCGGGCGGGGCGGAGUGAAUGAGAGCUCUCAGGAGGGAGGCUGGCGCAGGCAGGGGUGAGGAGCACAGCAGGCGGCGAGCGGGAGGCACUGGCCUCCAGAGCCCGUGGCCAAGGCGGGCCUCAUGGGCGACGACGGAGCCGGGAUCGGUGCCUCAGCGUUCGGGCUGGAGACGAGGCCAGGUCUCCAGUCGGGGUGGACGUGCCCACCAGCUGCCGAAGGCCGGGACGCCAGGUCCGGCGGACUUGCCGAGUGGGACAUGACAUGGUCCGGUGUGACGGCGAGGACAGAAGGGGCGCGUCCGGCCUUCCUGAACACCCUAGGCUGGUGGGGCUGCGGCAAGAAGCGGGUCUGUUUCUUUACUUCUCCCACGGAGUCGGCACACUACAGCUGCCCUCUGGGCUCCCAGAACCCACAACAUGAAAGAAUGGUGCUACCCAGCUCAAGCCUGGGCCUUUGAAUCCGGACACAAAACCCUCUAGUUGGAAUCGAACACGCUGCACUUUACAACCACUGCACUACUUGACUCAGGAAUCGGCUCCGGAAGGUGAAGCUAGAGGAACAAGACCUCAUCAACCCAACACCAAAGACGCCAUCGGACCAGCAGCGCCCGCAGCACCCACCCCCCACCAGCGACUCCAUCUUCAUGGCCACCCCCUGCGGCGGACGGUUGACCACCAGACACCGCGUCAUCCCAGAGCUGAGCUCCUCCAGCGGGAUGACCCCGUCCCCACCACCUCCCUCUUCUUCUUCUUCAUCCUUCUGUCUCUUUGUUUCUGAGCUUUCCUGUCUUUCCUUUCUCUGAGAGAUUCAAAGCCUCCCCAACUCUGUUUCCCCCGUCCCUUCUGAAUUUAAUUUGCACUAAGUCAUUUGCACUGGUUGGAGUUGUGGAGACAGCCUUGAGUCUCGGUGCGAGUGUGCGUGAGUGUGAGCCACCUUGGCAAGUGCCCGCCCAGGGCCCGGCCGCCCUUCAUCUGGGCUGGGUGACUGGGCGCCGGCUGUGUGCCCGAGGCCUCACUCUGCCCUCGCCUAGUCUGGAAGCUCCAACAUCACGGGGCAGCCUUCAAGCAUUCCAUUACGCCCCAUCUCGCCCUGUGCCCCUCCCCACCAGGGCUUCAGCAGGAGCCCUGGACUCAUCAUCAAUAAACACUGUUACAGCAA
rnacentral:lncRNA from 1 species